rnacentral:lncRNA from 1 species
AACCAAGAAAAACAGUGGAGGGGGAAUAAAACAUGUUUAAAUCUUUUUUUUGUCUUAAAACCAUCUUUAAUUUCACAGUCACAAAAUAAAACAUAACUCGAAUGUUUUGAUGUUUGCAGUGACAUCGAUUGUGAAAAAGGUUAGCCAGAAAGGAAACGCAGUGAGACAGAGCGCUCGGCCACCCCCUGCCCUGGGCGCCUGGCGCAUGGGGGGCGGGGCGGGGCUCGCGGGGUGACGUCACAGCCCGACGCGCCACCCAGCUGUUUUUGUGCUCCCAGCUCUAGCGAAAAGCCGCCGGUAUUUCUCCAUCUGGCUCUCCUCUACCUCCAGGCAGGCUCACCCGAGAUCCCCGCCCCGAACCCCCCCUGCACACUCGGCCCAGCGCUGUUGCCCCCGGAGCGGACGUUUCUGCAGCUAUUCUGAGCACACCUUGACGUCGGCUGAGGGAGCGGGACAGGGUCAGCGGCGAAGGAGGCAGGCCCCGCGCGGGGAUCUCGGAAGCCCUGCGGUGCAUCAUGAAGUUCCAGUACAAGGAGGACCAUCCCUUUGAGUAUCGGAAAAAGGAAGGAGAAAAGAUCCGGAAGAAAUAUCCGGACAGGGUCCCCGUGAGUGUAGAGGAGCUCCAAAAGCCAGGGUGCCUGAUCUGGACAAGAGGAAGUACCUAGUGCCCUCUGACCUUACUGUUGGCCAGUUCUACUUCUUAAUCCGGAAGAGAAUCCACCUGAGACCUGAGGACGCCUUAUUCUUCUUUGUCAACAACACCAUCCCUCCCACCAGUGCUACCAUGGGCCAACUGUAUGAGGACAAUCAUGAGGAAGACUAUUUUCUGUAUGUGGCCUACAGUGAUGAGAGUGUCUAUGGGAAAUGAGUGGUUGGAAGCCCAGCAGAUGGGAGCACCUGGACUUGGGGGUAGGGGAGGGGUGUGUGUGCGCGACAUGGGGAAAGAGGGUGGCUCCCACCGCAAGGAGACAGAAGGUGAA